rnacentral:rRNA from 1 species
UACGUAGGUGGCAAGCGUUGUCCGGAUUUACUGGGCGUAAAGAGCGCGCAGGCGGUCGUUCAAGUCGCGUGUGAAAGCCCCCGGCUCAACUGGGGAGUGUCGUGCGAUACGGGCGGACUGGAGGCCAGUAGGGGGAUGCGGAAUUCCGGGUGUAGUGGUGGAAUGCGUAGAGAUCCGGAGGAACACCAGCGGCGAAGGCGGCAUCCUGGACUGGUCCUGACACUCAUGAGCGAAAGCGUGGGGAGCGAUCCGG